CCUACGGGGGGCAGCAGUGGGGAAUAUUGGACAAUGGGCGCAAGCCUGACCCAGCAACUCCGCGUGAAGGAUGAAGGCUUUCGGGUUGUAAACUUCUUUUGUCAGGGACGAAGAAAGUCACGGUACUUGAUGAAUAUGCCACCGCUAAUUUAGUGCCAGCCGCCGCGGUAAUACGUAGGUGGCAAGCGUUAACCGGAUUUACUGGGUGUAAAGGGCGUGUAGGCGGGUGCGCAAGUCAGAUGUGAAAACUCAGGGAUCAACCCUGGACCUGCAUUUGAAACUGUGUUUCUUGAGUGCUGGAGAGGCAGGCGGAAUUCCGUGUGUAGCGGUGAAAUGCGUAGAUAUACGGAGGAACACCAGUGGCGAAGGCGGAUUGCUGGACAGUAACUGACGCUGAUGCGCGAAAGCGUGGGGAGCAAACAGGAUUAGAUACCCCAGUAGUC
rnacentral:rRNA from 1 species